rnacentral:rRNA from 1 species
GUGCUUAACACAUGCAAGUCGAACGAAGCUUGAUCCCACGAUUCCUUUCGGGGUGGACGGGUGAUAUGACUGAGUGGCGGACGGGUGAGUAACGCGUGGGCGAACCUGCCUCAUACAGGGGGAGUAACAGUUAGAAAUGACUGCUAAGACCGCAUAAGACCACAGCACCGCAUGGUGGAGUGGUAAAAGACUCCGGUGGUAUGAGAUGGGCCCGCGUCUGAUUAGCUAGUUGGUGAGGUAACGGACGUCUACCAACGGCAACGAUCAGUAGCCGGCUUGUAGAGAGUGAACGGCCACAUUGGGACGUGAGACACGGCCCAAACUACCUACGGGAGGGCAGCAGUGGGGAAUAUUGCACAAUGGGGGAAACCCUGAUGCAGCGACGCCGCGUGAGUGAAGAAGUAUUUCGGUAUGUAAAGCUCUAUCAGCAGGGAAGAAAAUGACGGUACCUGACUAAGAAGCCCCGGCUAACUACGUGCCAGCAGCCGCGGUAA